ensembl:snoRNA small nucleolar RNA SNORA5
UGCAGCCUUGUCAAAUUCGGUGUUUCCUCCUCAGUGGACGGCACUGGCCAAAAUGGCUGCAACAGUGAAUUUGUAGCCCAUGGGCCCCAUGUUCCUGUACAGUGGGAACUGGGGAUAGAAGGGCUAUGUACAAAU